UUCCGGUUGAUCCUGCCGGAAGCCAUUGCUAUCGGGGUCCGAUUUAGCCAUGCUAGUCGUACGAGUUCAUACUCGUGGCGGAAAGCUCAGUAACACGUGGUCAAGCUACCCUGUGGACCAGAAUAACCCCGGGAAACUGGGGCUAAUCCUGGAUAAGGCUCCUGCUCUGGAAAGAGCGGAGCUGGAAACGCUCCGGCGCCACAGGAUGCGGCUGCGGCCGAUUAGGUAGACGGUGGGGUAACGGCCCACCGUGCCAAUAAUCGGUACGGGUUGUGAGAGCAAGAGCCCGGAGAUGGAAUCUGAGACAAGAUUCCAGGCCCUACGGGGCGCAGCAGGCGCGAAACCUUUACACUGUACGGAAGUGCGAUAAGGGGACCCCGAGUGCGAGGGCAUACAGUCCUCGCUUUUGUACACCGUAAGGAGGUGUACGAAUAAGAGCUGGGCAAGACCGGUGCCAGCCGCCGCGGUAAUACCGGCAGCUCAAGUGAUGGCCGCUAUUAUUGGGCCUAAAGCGUCCGUAGCCUGCCGGACAAGUCUGUUGGGAAAUCCGUUCGCUUAACGAACGGGCGUCCAGCGGAAACUGUCCGGCUUGGGACCGGAAGACCCGAGGGGUACGUCCGGGGUAGGAGUGAAAUCCUGUAAUCCUGGACGGACCGCCGGUGGCGAAAGCGCCUCUGGAGGACGGACCCGACGGUGAGGGACGAAAGCUAGGGUCUCGAACCGGAUUAGAUACCCGGGUAGUCCUAGCCGUAAACGAUGCUCGCUAGGUGUGGCACAGGCUACGAGCCUGUGCUGUGCCGUAGGGAAGCCGUGAAGCGAGCCGCCUGGGAAGUACGUCCGCAAGGAUGAAACUUAAAGGAAUUGGCGGGGGAGCACUACAACCGGAGGAGCCCGCGGUUUAAUUGGAUUCAACGCCGGA
rnacentral:rRNA from 1 species